rnacentral:rRNA from 1 species
UACGGAGGGUGCAAGCGUUAUCCGGAUUCACUGGGUUUAAAGGGUGCGUAGGCGGGCAUGUAAGUCUGUGGUGAAAUCUCCAAGCUUAACUUGGAAACUGCCAUGGAUACUAUAUGUCUUGAAUGUCGUUGAGGUCAGCGGAAUAUGUCAUGUAGCGGUGAAAUGCUUAGAUAUGACAUAGAACACCUAUUGCGAAGGCAGCUGACUAAGCGAAUAUUGACGCUGAGGCACGAAAGCGUGGGGAUCAAACAGG